rnacentral:snRNA from 1 species
GUGCUCACUUUGGCAGCACAUAUACUAAAAUUGGAACGAUACAAAGAUUAGCAUGGCCCCUGCACAAGGAUGACAUGCAAAUUUGUGAAUUGUUCCAUAAAAAA